rnacentral:rRNA from 1 species
AAGUCGAGCGACAGAUAAGGAGCUUGCUCCUUUGACGUUAGCGGCGGACGGGUGAGUAACACGUGGGUAACCUACCUAUAAGACUGGGAUAACUUCGGGAAACCGGAGCUAAUACCGGAUAACAUUUGGAACCGCAUGGUUCUAAAGUGAAAGAUGGUUUUGCUAUCACUUAUAGAUGGACCCGCGCCGUAUUAGCUAGUUGGUAAGGUAACGGCUUACCAAGGCAACGAUACGUAGCCGACCUGAGAGGGUGAUCGGCCACACUGGAACUGAGACACGGUCCAGACUCCUACGGGAGGCAGCAGUAGGGAAUCUUCCGCAAUGGGCGAAAGCCUGACGGAGCAACGCCGCGUGAGUGAUGAAGGGUUUCGGCUCGUAAAACUCUGUUAUUAGGGAAGAACAAACGUGUAAGUAACUGUGCACGUCUUGACGGUACCUAAUCAGAAAGCCACGGCUAACUACGUGCCAGCAGCCGCGGUAAUACGUAGGUGGCAAGCGUUAUCCGGAAUUAUUGGGCGUAAAGCGCGCGUAGGCGGUUUCUUAAGUCUGAUGUGAAAGCCCACGGCUCAACCGUGGAGGGUCAUUGGAAACUGGGAAACUUGAGUGCAGAAGAGGAAAGUGGAAUUCCAUGUGUAGCGGUGAAAUGCGCAGAGAUAUGGAGGAACACCAGUGGCGAAGGCGACUUUCUGGUCUGUAACUGACGCUGAUGUGCGAAAGCGUGGGGAUCAAACAGGAUUAGAUACCCUGGUAGUCCACGCCGUAAACGAUGAGUGCUAAGUGUUAGGGGGUUUCCGCCCCUUAGUGCUGCAGCUAACGCAUUAAGCACUCCGCCUGGGGAGUACGACCGCAAGGUUGAAACUCAAAGGAAUUGACGGGGACCCGCACAAGCGGUGGAGCAUGUGGUUUAAUUCGAAGCAACGCGAAGAACCUUACCAAAUCUUGACAUCCUUUGAAAACUCUAGAGAUAGAGCCUUCCCCUUCGGGGGACAAAGUGACAGGUGGUGCAUGGUUGUUGUCAGCUCGUGUCGUGAGAUGUUGGGUUAAGUCCCGCAACGAGCGCAACCCUUAAGCUUAGUUGCCAUCAUUAAGUUGGGCACUCUAGGUUGACUGCCGGUGACAAACCGGAGGAAGGUGGGGAUGACGUCAAAUCAUCAUGCCCCUUAUGAUUUGGGCUACACACGUGCUACAAUGGACAAUACAAAGGGCAGCUAAACCGCGAGGUCAUGCAAAUCCCAUAAAGUUGUUCUCAGUUCGGAUUGUAGUCUGCAACUCGACUACAUGAAGCUGGAAUCGCUAGUAAUCGUAGAUCAGCAUGCUAUCGGUGAAUACGUUCCCGGGUCUUGUACACACCGCCCGUCACACCACGAGAGUUUGUAACACCCGAAGCCGGUGGAGUAACCAUUUAUGGAGCUAGCCGUCG